GAUGAACGCUGGCGGCGUGCCUAAUACAUGCAAGUCGAGCGAACAGAUAAGGAGCUUGCUCCUUUGACGUUAGCGGCGGACGGGUGAGUAACACGUGGGUAACCUACCUAUAAGACUGGGAUAACUUCGGGAAACCGGAGCUAAUACCGGAUAACAUUUGGAACCGCAUGGUUCUAAAGUGAAAGAUGGUUUUGCUAUCACUUAUAGAUGGACCCGCGCCGUAUUAGCUAGUUGGUAAGGUAACGGCUUACCAAGGCGACGAUACGUAGCCGACCUGAGAGGGUGAUCGGCCACACUGGAACUGAGACACGAUCCAGACUCCUACGGGAGGCAGCAGUAGGGAAUCUUCCGCAAUGGGCGAAAGCCUGACGGAGCAACGCCGCGUGAGUGAUGAAGGGGUUCGGCUCGUAAAACUCUGUUAUUAGGGAAGAACAAAUGUGUAAGUAACUGUGCACGUCUUGACGGUACCUAAUCAGAAAGCCACGGCUAACUACGUG
rnacentral:rRNA from 1 species